CCACAGGUGUCUUUUCAGACACCACACACUCAAAAAAAAAAAGAAAA
rfam:Oreochromis niloticus linkage group LG5, whole genome shotgun sequence.